rnacentral:rRNA from 1 species
GAGCAUACCGCGUGAGGGAGGAAGGCCUUUGGGUUGUAAACCUCUUUUCUGGGGGAAGAAGCAAGUGACGGUACCCCAGGAAUCAGCAUCGGCUAACUCCGUGCCAGCAGCCGCGGUAAUACGGAGGAUGCAAGCGUUAUCCGGAAUUAUUGGGCGUAAAGCGUCCGCAGGUGGUCCAUCAAGUCUGCUGUCAAAGACCGGAGCUCAACUCCGGGCAGGCAGUGGAAACUGGUGAACUAGAGUACGGUAGGGGUAGAGGGAAUUCCCAGUGUAGCGGUGAAAUGCGUAGAGAUUGGGAAGAACACCAGUGGCGAAGGCGCUCUACUGGGCCGUAACUGACGCUCAGGGACGAAAGCUAGGGGAGCGAAAGGGAUUAGAUACCCCUGUAGUCCUAGCUGUAAACGAUGGAUACUAGGCGUUGCUUGUAUCGACCCGAGCAGUGCCGUAGCUAACGCGUUAAGUAUCCCGCCUGGGGAGUACGCACGCAAGUGUGAAACUCAAAGGAAUUGACGGGGGCCCGCACAAGCGGUGGAGUAUGUGGUUUAAUUCGAUGCAACGCGAAGAACCUUACCAGGGCUUGACAUGUCCGGAAUCUCGGGGAAACUCGAGAGUGCCUUCGGGAGCCGGAACACAGGUGGUGCAUGGCUGUCGUCAGCUCGUGUCGUGAGAUGUUGGGUUAAGUCCCGCAACGAGCGCAACCCUCGUCCUUAGUUGCCAGCCUUAAGUGGGGCACUCUAGGGAGACUGCCGGUGACAAACCGGAGGAAGGUGGGGAUGACGUCAAGUCAGCAUGCCCCUUACGUCCUGGGCGACACACGUACUACUAUGGUCGGGACAAAGGGCAGCGAACUCGCGAGAGUAAGCGAAUCUCAGCAAACCCGGCCUCAGUUCAGAUUGCAGGCUGCAACUCGCCUGCAUGAAGGAGGAAUCGCUAGUAAUCGCAGGUCAGCAUACUGCGGUGAAUUCGUUCCCGGGCCUUGUACACACCGCCCGUCACACCAUGGAAGCUGGCCACGCCCGAAGUCGUUACCCUAACCCUUAGGGGAGGGGGACGCCGAAGGCAGGGCUAGUGACUGGGGUGAAGUCGUAACAAGGUAGCCGUACCGGAAGGUG